GAUGAACGCUGGCGGCGUGCCUAAUACAUGCAAGUCGAGCGAACGGACGAGAAGCUUGCUUCUCUGAUGUUAGCGGCGGACGGGUGAGUAACACGUGGAUAACCUACCUAUAAGACUGGGAUAACUUCGGGAAACCGGAGCUAAUACCGGAUAAUAUUUUGAACCGCAUGGUUCAAAAGUGAAAGACGGUCUUGCUGUCACUUAUAGAUGGAUCCGCGCUGCAUUAGCUAGUUGGUAAGGUAACGGCCUACCAAGGCAACGAUGCAUAGCCGACCUGAGAGGGUGAUCGGCCACACUGGAACUGAGACACGGUCCAGACUCCUACGGGAGGCAGCAGUAGGGAAUAUUCCGCAAUGGGCGAAAGCCUGACGGAGCAACGCCGCGUGAGUGAUGAAGGUCUUCGGAUCGUAAAACUCUGUUAUUAGGGAAGAACAUAUGUGUAAGUAACCGUGCACAUCUUGACGGUACCUAAUCAGAAAGCCACGGCUAACUACGUG
rnacentral:rRNA from 1 species